rnacentral:rRNA from 1 species
UACGUAGGGGGCAAGCGUUAUCCGGAUUUACUGGGUGUAAAGGGAGCGUAGACGGCCAGAUAAGUCUGAUGUGAAAGCCCAGGGCUCAACCCCGGGAUUGCAUUGGAAACUAUUUGGCUAGAGUGCAGGAGAGGUAAGUGGAAUUCCUAGUGUAGCGGUGAAAUGCGUAGAUAUUAGGAGGAACACCAGUGGCGAAGGCGACUUACUGGACUGUAACUGACGUUGAGGCUCGAAAGCGUGGGGAGCGAACAGG